rnacentral:rRNA from 1 species
UAGUUUGAUCAUGGCUCAGAUUGAACGCUGGCGGCAUGCCUUACACAUGCAAGUCGAACGGCAGCGCGGGAGCAAUCCUGGCGGCGAGUGGCGAACGGGUGAGUAAUAUAUCGGAACGUGCCCUGUAGCGGGGGAUAACCUAUCGAAAGAUGGACUAAUACCGCAUACGCUCUACGGAGGAAAGCGGGGGUCGCAAGACCUCGCACUAUAGGAGCGGCCGAUAUCGGAUUAGCUAGUUGGCGGGGUAAAAGCCCACCAAGGCGACGAUCCGUAGCUGGUCUGAGAAGAUGAUCAGCCACACUGGAACUGAGACACGGUCCAGACUCCUACGGGAGGCAGCAGUGGGGAAUUUUGGACAAUGGGCGCAAGCCUGAUCCAGCCAUGCCGCGUGAGUGAAGAAGGCCUUCGGGUUGUAAAGCUCUUUCGGCAGGAACGAAAUGGUUCGUGCUAAUACCACGGACUGAUGACGGUACCUGAAGAAGAAGCACCGGCUAACUACGUGCCAGCAGCCGCGGUAAUAC